rnacentral:rRNA from 1 species
UACGGAGGAUGCGAGUGUUAUCCGGAUUUAUUGGGUUUAAAGGGUGCGUAGGCGGGAUGCCAAGUCAGCGGUAAAAAUGCGGUGCUCAACGCCGUCGAGCCGUUGAAACUGGCGUUCUUGGGUGGGCGAGAAGUAUGCGGAAUGCGUGGUGUAGCGGUGAAAUGCAUAGAUAUCACGCAGAACUCCGAUUGCGAAGGCAGCAUACCGGCGCCCUACUGACGCUGAGGCACGAAAGCGUGGGUAUCGAACAGG